GCAGCGGUAGUUUCAGUCGGUUAGAAUACCGGCCUGUCACGCCGGGGGGUCGCGGGGUUGAGUCCCCGUCCGCUGCGCCA
rnacentral:tRNA from 1 species